rnacentral:tRNA from 3 species
UGGGCCGUCGCCAAGCGGUAAGGCACCAGGUUUUGAUCCUGGCAUGCGCAGGUUCGAAUCCUGCCGGCCCAGCCA